AACGAACGCUGGCGGCGUGCCUAACACAUGCAAGUCGAACGGGAAAACCCGCAAGGGUGAGUACAGUGGCGCACGGGUGCGUAACACGUGGGUAAUCUGCCCAGAAGCCCGGAAUAACUCCCCGAAAGGGGUGCUAAUGCCGGAUGAGACCACGGGGACUUCGGUUCCUGGGGGAAAAGGUGGCCUCUGUAUACAAGCUAUCACUUCUGGAUGAGCCCGCGGCCCAUCAGCUAGUUGGCGGGGUAAUGGCCCACCAAGGCUACGACGAGUAGCUGGUCUGAGAGGACGAUCAGCCACACUGGAACUGAGACACGGUCCAGACUCCUACGGGAGGCAGCAGUGGGGAAUUUUGCGCAAUGGGCUAACGCCUGACGCAGCAACGCCGCGUGGAGGAUGAAGGUCUUUGGAUUGUAAACUCCUGUCAGCAGGGAAAAAGCGACCUGGCCUAAUACGCCAGGGAGUUGAUUGUACCUGCAGAGGAAGCCCCGGCUAACUCUGUGCCAGCCGCCGCGGUAAUAC
rnacentral:rRNA from 1 species